rnacentral:rRNA from 1 species
CCUACGGGCGGCAGCAGUGAGGAAUAUUGGUCAAUGGACGAGAGUCUGAACCAGCCAAGUAGCGUGAAGGAUGACUGCCCUAUGGGUUGUAAACUUCUUUUAUAAGGGAAUAAAACGAGGCACGUGUGCCUUUUUGCAUGUACUUUAUGAAUAAGGAUCGGCUAACUCCGUGCCAGCAGCCGCGGUAAUACGGAGGAUUCGAGCGUUAUCCGGAUUUAUUGGGUUUAAAGGGAGCGUAGAUGGGUUGUUAAGUCAGUUGUGAAAGUUUGCGGCUCAACCGUAAAAUUGCUAUUGAUACUGGCUGUCUUGAGUACAGUUGAGGUAGGCGGAAUUCGUGGUGUAGCGGUGAAAUGCUUAGAUAUCAGGAAGAACCCCGAUUGCGAAGGCAGCUUACUAAACUGUGACUGACAUUGAUGCUCGAAAGUGUGGGUAGCAAACAGGAUUAGAUACCCUUGUAGUC